GAACUUACACAAGCGAGCGCCCGUGUCCGUUUGACGUUCCGAACGUCGCGAGUCUUCCUUACUUUUCUCAAUGUCUCUGCGAAGUAAGCGACGGAUAAACUCAGGCUCAUCGUCCUCGAGGAAAAUGACUACACUUUGUGUGAAAUCUGUGAUCGAUGAAUCCGAAAUAAACGCGGCCACAUCGUGGAGUAUGUUGUCCUCCUCGUGACAGCCGUUUACAAAUGUGUACUCGCGCGCGCGCACGCAUACGUGUGGUAUAUGUGUAUGAACUGGGAAUGUAUGAUUACACAGUGGAUAACUAUUUCGAUAGUCAAUGUCAAUGGGACAUAUGAGUGGAAAACGAAGCGAAUGCUCGUUUGAAGGCAUUAAAUGUUCGCUCUAGCCUGGAAGUAUAAAGGCAAAAAUGUAGAUUGUCAUCUAUCUUUUGUCUUUUCUAUGAGAUAUUUGUCUUGUACUUUUAAAGAUACUUGUCUUUUAAAUGUUAUUAAUAUUAAUCGUUAAUAAUAUCCCUGAAAAUACUUGUCAACUAUAAAAUAUAAUUUCUAUUCUUUAUUCCUUCUAUUACAUUAUAAUACUUUGUGUUUUGUGUUGAAGAGCAAAAUUGUUUCUACUUUAAACACGAGUAAAUAUUGCGAUCAGCAAUUUUCUUUGAAUUAGUUUAUCCUGUAAUGUUGAAUAGUUAUGUUGCAUUGUUCAAAAUACUGUAUUUACUGUAAGAUACUGGGUUAGUCAAAUCAAGGAAUGUUUCUGAUUGCAGAAUCUGCUCAUAUGCUUAAUUGUAUAUCACAAGGAGAAGAAUCUACUGAGCCUCUGUAUAUACAGUGACUUCAUUCGUCUUUUCAAAAUAUAAAUGAGCGAUAUACAGACAGCUCGUAUCUUCAAAAUGGUGUGAGCUGUCAUAAACCUCCUGUUGUUCCCAGUAAUGAGUUACACACGUCUUGUGUUGCGCCACAAUGAGCGCUACUAUACGAUUUCAUACAGUGGGUUGAUUGAGGAUUGUUAGCAUACAACACUGCGUGCGACGCAUAUAAUUUAAAUCACGAGGACAAAGAUACCAUCUCUGGGGGCAGAUAAUCUAAAGUGCCACAUAAAGUAUCCCUUCGAGAAGAAGGAGCGUGUACAGACCACCCAAAAUCAGCUAUCUUUAAUUCACCAUAUGCUCCAAGAAGUAAAUUCUCAGGUUUAAUGUCACGGUGGAUAACUUUCUUACUAUGACAGUAUUUUAAUGCAUCUGCUAAUUGCGCCAUGUAAGUGGCUGUUCUGUAAAUGUAUAAAUUUGAAAAUAAUUACACAGCUAUUCAUACA